AGAAGAAAUUGCCUGAUUUUGGAACUAGUUUGAGCGAUGGUAACUAUUGCACAUUUGGUUUUGGAUAUGAUGAGUUCCAUGAUGAUUAUAAGGUGGUGGGGUUUUUUAACUCUUUUUGCAAUUUGUCUUGUGUUGAGGUCAAAAUAUAUAGUCUAAAGGAGGAUUCUUGGAGAAGCACCCAUUAUCCUCCUCCAGAUGGGGUGCGAUUCUAUGGUACGGGUAUGUUUGUGAAUGGGAAGCUUCAUUGGAUUCAUCGUGAUCGUAAGAUCAUACAAUAAUUUCUAUUGAUUUGGCUGAUGAGAAAUGGGAAAAGGUUGAGCCACCAUGUUGGGGAGAAGAAGAUGUUUUGAUUUUGGAUCUGGUAGUACUGGGUAAUCUUUCUGUGAUAAGACAUGGUUAUCCUCGAAAUGUUAAUCCUGACACAUAUGUGUGGGUUAUGAAGGAGUAUGGGGUUAAAGAAUCUUGGACAAAGAUGUUUACCUUAAAAUAUCCUGUGUCGUCGCUGCCCUUUUUAAUUUCAAAUAAAGAUGAAAAUUUGCUUAUGUUUGGAAAAAAAUUCUUGUUGUACAAUCUGAAGGAUGAAUCGACCAGAUAUCCAGAGUUUACUAAGCUUAAAUCUGGUAAUGUGUGGGAAGUUUACCUUGAAAGCCUAGUUUUUCCCCUUUUACAGAACAAACCAAGGACACAACAGGAAUGAAGGGUGCAGAUGGAUGCAAUAGUGUGACCUGGAAGCUGGUUGUCCUGGCUUUGCUACAUUCUCGGUUCUGAUAGAGAAGUUCUUGGAUAGAUAUCACUAAUCCCAGUGAGCAAUUAGACUGAAUGGAUUAUUACAGUUGGGUUGUUUCUGAAUUUAGAAAGGGAUCAUUCUUUUUGAAACUUGUGAUCUUAAUGUCAUAACAUUUGAUGUGGGAUAA